GACGAACGCUGGCGGCGUGCUUAAUACAUGCAAGUCAACUGAACUUAAGGUAGCAAUAUUUUAAGGGAGGUGGCGCACGGGUGAGUAACACGUAGGUAAUCUGCCUUUAGGUCUGACGCAACCCCGAGAAAUCGGGGCUAAUAUCAGAUGAUGCAGCGGCUCGACAUCGAGACAGUUGUUAAACCUUCGGGGCCUAAAGAUGAGCCUGCGUCUGAUUAGCUGGUUGACGGGGUAACGGCCCACCAAGGCAACGAUCAGUAGCUGGUCUGAGAGGAUGAUCAGCCACACUGGAACUGAGACACGGUCCAGACUCCUACGGGAGGCAGCAGUAAGGAAUAUUGCUCAAUGGCCGAAAGGCUGAAGCAGCAACGCCGCGUGGAGGAUGAAAUACUUUGUAUGUAAACUCCUGUGAGAAGGGAAAAAUAUAGCAGAUUUUACUGCGUUGAUUGUACCUUCAGAGGAAGCCCCGGCUAACUACGUGCCAGCAGCCGACGG
rnacentral:rRNA from 1 species